AAAAGAGAUAAGGUUAAGUUAAUAAGGGCGCACGGUGGAUGCCUUGGC
rnacentral:rRNA from 1 species